UACGGAGAGGCAGCGGUGGGGAAUAUUGCACAAUGGGCGAAAGCCUGAUGCAGCUAUGCCGCGUGUAUGAAGAAGGCCUUAGGGUUGUAAAGUACUUUCAUCGGGGAGGAAAAACAAAACUAAUAAUUUUAUUUCUUGACGUUACCCGAAAAAGAAGCACCGGCUAACUCCGUGCCAGCAGCCGCGGUAAUACGGAGGGUGCUAGCGUUAAUCAGAAUUACUGGGCGUAAAGAGCACGUAGGUGGUUUUUUUAAGUCAGAUGUGAAAUCCCUGGGCUUAACCUAGGAACUGCAUUUUGAAACUGAAAUACUAGAGUAUCGUAGAGGGAGGUAGAAUUCUAGGUGUAGCGGUGAAAUGCGUAGAUAUCUGGAGGAAUACCUGUGGCGAAAGCGGCCUCCUAAACGAAUACUGACACUGAGGUGCGAAAGCGUGGGGAGCAAACAGGGAUUAGAUACC
rnacentral:rRNA from 1 species